AUAAUGGAGAGCGAAAGGGAAUACGGUUCCAAUUCCGUAACCUAUUGAGUAUACGUUUAUUGUGGGUCCUACAUAUAACAUUUUUGCUAUAUGUAGGUUUAAAGCUCAUCCUGGUAACAGGAGCUACCAUAGAGAAGCCGUCGAAGCAUACCGGAAGAGUUAUCUUUUCUGUUUCAUAGCUGUAUUACCAUGGAAGUCUUUCGAAGAGAGAUAUGGUAAAUGAGCUAGAAGAGCAUGGCGUUUAUUGCUGUGUCGGGUAUGUAUUCCUCGGACCUUGAAAAUCUAUGGUAGGGCCACGUAAACAUUCUCAAUAGACCGUACCAAUAUCCGCAGCAGGUCUCCAAGGUUAAGAGUCUCUAGUCGAUAGAAUAAUGUAGGUAAGGGAAGUCGGCAAAUUAGAUCCGUAACUUCGGGAUAAGGAUUGGCUCUGAAGAUUGAGAUGUGUCGGGCUUGUUUGGGAAGUAUAAAUAAAUGUGGCGGCUAAAGUAUCUGAUUAGUUGACCAUGAUGUUGUUGGUAAAACAACACGUUGUGGACGAUGAAAAGAUACGAUUAAGCCAUCACGAAAUACGGAACAUUCAAGCUAUGCUGUGCACACUAAUAUG
rnacentral:rRNA from 1 species